rnacentral:rRNA from 1 species
GAUGAACGCUAGCUACAGGCUUAACACAUGCAAGUCGAGGGGAAACGGCAUUUAGUGCUUGCACUGAAUGGACGUCGACCGGCGCACGGGUGAGUAACGCGUAUCCAACCUACCCAUUACUGUGGGAUAACCUGCCGAAAGGCAGACUAAUACCGCAUAGUCUUCGAUGACGGCAUCAGAUUUGAAGUAAAGAUUUAUCGGUAAUGGAUGGGGAUGCGUCUGAUUAGCUUGUUGGCGGGGUAACGGCCCACCAAGGCAACGAUCAGUAAGGGUUCUGAGAGGAAGGUCCCCCACAUUGGAACUGAGACACGGUCCAAACUCCUACGGGAGGCAGCAGUGAGGAAUAUUGGUCAAUGGGCGCGAGCCUGAACCAGCCAAGUAGCGUGCAGGAUGACGGCCCUAUGGGUUGUAAACUGCUUUUGUAUGGGGAUAAAGUCAAUCACGUGUGAUUGUUUGCAGGUACCAUACGAAUAAGGACCGGCUAAUUCCGUGCCAGCAGCCGCGGUAAUACGGAAGGUCCGGGCGUUAUCCGGAUUUAUUGGGUUUAAAGGGAGCGUAGGCCGGAGAUUAAGUGUGUUGUGAAAUGUAGACGCUCAACGUCUGACUUGCAGCGCAUACUGGUUUCCUUGAGUACGCACAACGUUGGCGGAAUUCGUCGUGUAGCGGUGAAAUGCUUAGAUAUGACGAAGAACUCCGAUUGCGAAGGCAGCUGACGGGAGCGCUACUGACGCUAAAGCUCGAAAGGUGCGGGUAUCGAACAGG